rnacentral:tRNA from 1 species
GCCAGAGUGGCUCAGUGGUAGAGCAACUGUUUCGUAAACAGUAGGUCGUGGGUCCGAUUCCCACCUCUGGCU